rnacentral:rRNA from 1 species
CCUACGGGGGGCUGCAGUGAGGAAUAUUGCACAAUGGGCGCAAUCCUGAUGCAGCGACGCCGCGUGCGGGAUGAAGGGGCUUAGCCUCGUAAACCGCUGUCGGAGGGGACGAAUGGUACAUUUGAUGUACUGAGACGGUACCCUCAAAGGAAGGAUCGGCUAACUACGUGCCAGCAGCCGCGGUAAUACGUAGGAUCCGAGCGUUGUCCGGAAUUACUGGGUGUAAAGGGUGCGUAGGCGGACUUGUGCGUCAGAGGUGAAAUCCACGGGCUUAACCCGUGGGGUGCCUUUGAUACGGCAAGUCUUGAGUGCGAGAGAGGUGGGUGGAAUUCCUGGUGUAGCAGUGAAAUGCGUAGAUAUCAGGAGGAACACCGAUGGCGAAGGCAGCCCACCGGCUCGCAACUGACGCUGAGGCACGAAAGCGUGGGGAUCAAACAGGCUUAGAUACCCGAGUAGUC